AACUAUUUCAACGGACGCGUUAGUCGUACUCGCCGUCGAAUUUCCCAUCCAAUUUUACAUCGCGGAGAGAAACGCGUUAUAUAAUCUAAAACAGAACCAGUAUUUCAAACUUGGAAGCAUAUCCGACACACCAAACACAGACUACCCACCAGACAAGACCACGCUAGACAACACGAAAGAAAAAAUACGGACCGAAAUCACCAAACUCUGGCAAUCAGAAUGGGCGCACUCAGAUAAAGGAAGGAUAACGUACAAAUUUUUCAACACCGUGCAAAGUCGACUUAGCUCCACUUGGAUAAGCACAAACUUCUACACUCUACAAAUUCUCUCAGGACAUGGUAAAAUCAAAGACCAACAAAAAACCCUAGGAAUCACAGAAACCGAUCAAUGCAGCUGUGGCGGAAAGGACUCAGUAGAACACGUAAUAUAUGAGUGCCCAAUCCUACAGUCUCAACGCGAAAUACUAAUGCAACAUCUGUAUAGUCAAGAUAUAAAUUUGCGUCGGAUCGUCGGAACUGGGUAUAGGGGCAAAAGACUAAUCGAACAAUCUAGUAGCUGGUUCCCUCCGAAGUUUCCCUCAGGAUAGCUGGCACUCGCUCGUUUCUACGUUGAACGCAUGCGAGUCUCGUCUGGUAAAGCGAAUGAUUAGAGGCCUUGGGGUCGAAACGACCUCAACCUAUUCUCAAACUUUAAAUGGGUGAGAUCUCUGGCUUGCUUGAAUAUCAUAUGAAGCCACGAGAUUUUGGAUCAGAGUGCCAAGUGGGCCAAUUUUCGUAAGCAGAACUGGCGCUGUGGGAUAAACUAAACGCAGAGUUAAGGCGCCUAAGUCGACGCUUAUGGGAUACCAUGAAAGGUGUUGGUUGCUUAAGACAGCAAGACGGUGGCCAUGGAAGUCGGAAUCCGCUAAGGAGUGUGUAACAACUCACCUGCCGGAGCAACUAGCCCUGAAAAUGGAUCGCGCUGAAGCGUCGCGCCUAUACACCGCCGUCAGCGGCAAGUGAGGAGAGACGUGUCAUCCUCGGAUGCUCGCCCUCCAUGAAGUCCUGACGAGUAGGAUGGUCGCGGCGGUGUGCGCAGAAGGGUCUGGGCGUGAGCCUGCCUGGAGCCGCUGUCGGUGCAGAUCUUGGUGGUAGUAGCAAAUACUCCAGCGAGGCCCUGGCGGACUAACGUGGAGAAGGGUUUCGUGUGAACAGCCGUUGCACACGAGUCAGUCGAUCCUAAGCCCUAAGAGAAAUCCUUGGUGAAUGAGGUGUCCUAAAACAAAUGUUUUGUGUACAAGACACACACCCGUUGGGCGAAAGGGAAUCCGGUUUCUAUUCCGGAACCCGGCAGCGGAACCGCAUACCAUUCGGGCCCUUAUAAGAGUGUUCGUCGGGGUAACCCAAAAUGACCUGGAUGCUCCCACCUCCCAUAGGUACCCGCUGGGCAACGUCGUCGGUAUAGCCACUAAAAUACCGACAGCAGCUAAGGGAUGCAUUGCGACUCGUGGCCCCCAGGGGUUGCCAGCCCCUUCGGGUCCAAAUU
rnacentral:rRNA from 1 species